rnacentral:rRNA from 1 species
UACGAAGGGUGCAAGCGUUAAUCGGAAUUACUGGGCGUAAAGCGUGCGCAGGCGGUUAUUUAAGUCAGGUGUGAAAGCCCUGGGCUUAACCUAGGAAUUGCGCUUGAGACUGGAUAGCUUGGAGUGCGGCAGAGGGAGGUGGAAUUCCACGUGUAGCAGUGAAAUGCGUAGAGAUGUGGAGGAACACCGAUGGCGAAGGCGGCUACCUGGACCAGCACUGACACUGAGGCACGAAAGCGUGGGGAGCAAACAGG